ACGCUCUUCCCAUCGGCUGCUUUUAAGUCCGGAGUGUUAGAUGCCAUCGACAAUAUAAAGAUCAAUUUUUAGUUCAACAAACUUGGAUUAAAGAUCUGCCACGUGCAAGCAAGAACUGCUAAGGGCAGUAGAAGAUAUGCUUUGGGGCCAAACUACUUUUUUGCUUCAUGUGAGUUAGGUAGAUGACUCAUAUCUAAGCGUGUGGAGAAUGUAGAAUCUAGAUACAGGUAUAGAUACAGAUAUAUGCUGAUUAUAGAGGAGUAUCACAUAUAUGAUAGACAAGAUAUAUAACAUACCUCUUAUGUAUGGGAUCUAUACUGUGGACAAGAUAUGUAAUAUAUAUGUUACAUAUAUACAUAUGUAUGUAUGUAUAUGUGUAUAUAUGUGUAUGUAUAUAUGUGUAUAUAUACAUAUGUAUGUAUGUACAUAUAAAUAUAU